ACAGAAAAGCAGAAAAGGUAAGGAAGUCGAUCAAUUUGUAAAUGGCGCAUUCAUCAAUAUACCAAGUUGUCAGAUUAGCAAAUGUCAAUGUACGGUACGAUGGUAGCGGCGAUCGCAGGGUAGACAGCGAGAUAGCUGAUAAAGAAGGGAAUAAGUGGGGAUAUAGAAGGGGAGUGGAAAGAAAGGAAAGGAGGUGCGAAAAGGAGUUGUAAAGUAGGUUUGAAGGAUAUGAAAAGUUGGACUUCAAAAAAAAAAAUUUGUUGAUUAAUUUUUACCACAUCUUUCCAUUGAUGUCUUUGGGAUGUACUUGCGGAUAGACGAGAAUAGAUUUUAACAAUUAAGAGAUAGGCGAGAGUU